UACGUAGGGUCCGAGCGUUGUCCGGAAUUAUUGGGCGUAAAGAGCUCGUAGGCGGCCUGUUGCGUCCGCUGUGAAAACCCGGGGCUUAACCCCGGGCUUGCAGUGGAUACGGGCAGGCUGGAGGCAGGCAGGGGAGAACGGAAUUCCCGGUGUAGCGGUGAAAUGCGCAGAUAUCGGGAGGAACACCGGUGGCGAAGGCGGUUCUCUGAGCCUGUACUGACGCUGAGGAGCGAAAGCGUGGGGAGCGAACAGG
rnacentral:rRNA from 1 species